CGCGGCCUAUCAGCUUGUUGGUGAGGUAACGGCUCACCAAGGCAACGACGGGUAGCUGGUCUGAGAGGACGAUCAGCCACACUGGGACUGAGACACGGCCCAGACUCCUACGGGAGGCAGCAGCAGGGAAUAUUGCACAAUGGGCGCAAGCCUGAUGCAGCGACGCCGCGUGAGGGAUGAAGGCCCUCGGGUUGUAAACCUCUUUCAGGAGGGACGAAGCGAAAGUGACGGUACCUCCAGAAGAAGCCCCGGCCAACUACGUGCCAGCAGCCGCGGUAAUACGUAGGGGGCGAGCGUUGUCCGGAUUCAUUGGGCGUAAAGAGCUCGUAGGCGGCUCAGUAAGUCGGCCGUGAAAGCCCGGAGCUCAACUCCGGGACGCCGGUCGAUACUGCUGUGGCUAGGGUCCGGUAGAGGAGAGUGGAAUUCCCGGUGUAGCGGUGAAAUGCGCAGAUAUCGGGAGGAACACCAAUAGCGAAGGCGGCUCUCUGGGCCGGUACCGACGCUGAGGAGCGAAAGCUAGGGGAGCAAACAGGAUUAGAUACCCUGGUAGUCCUAGCCGUAAACGUUGGGCACUAGGUGUGGCGGAUUCAUUGACAUCUGCCGUGCCGGCGCUAACGCAUUAAGUGCCCCGCCUGGGGAGUACGG
rnacentral:rRNA from 1 species